AUUUUUUCUGUCUUGAAAUAGUUCAUGGGUAUCAGUAAUAUUUUAAAAAAUGUAAUUCUGCAGUUAGAAUGGGUGUAGGGAAUUACAGUUUUCUGUGUUUCAAAGGCCAGGGAAGAAAGCUCCCUCCAGCCCUGCAGCCUCCAAGCUGAGCUCCAGCCGCCCUGAGGGAUGCACUGCCCAGUGCUCCUGCUAAAGCCUCCCCACAGCCACUCGUGUGCCUUAAAGAGCAGAAAGUUGCUAAGAAGACUUUAAGUACCUGACUUCAGAGCUGUGCAGAGGCCACCUUUUAGUAGGAACUUUUCCAUUCUCAUAAUAAAUGAAGCAAGAAGGCUGAUGUUUCUGCUGCUACAGUUUGGAAGAUCCCACUCAGCUAACCUGUGCAACUGGAUCUCUCAUUGAAACCUGGAGAAUUUUCUGGAUUUUUUUUGGUUUGUUUGUCAUUUUAUGUGAUCUGAUCUAAGGAAGCAUGUAGAAAUC